UAUAACAUUAAAAUUCAAUCAAAUAUCAAAUGUACGAUUAUGUUUUCACAGUGAAGGUCAGAUAUCCGAGUGUAAGUGAAUGCAGCAUUGGCUUCUGCACUAUGAGCAUCACGUUAGCAAAGGAAGGAGAGCCAAGCACGAAAGAUGGUACCGCAGAAAACAAUUUUGGGCGAAAGAUAAGGAGGAGAGAAUAAAUGUCCUGGGCAGACCAGAAGAAUAGGAAGAAUGAAAAGAUCUCAAAAUGUUGAGAAUUUCUUCCUUAAGAAGGCUAAAAUACAACCAGAAGCAGAGAGCAAUGUCAGGGAAAGGUGGACUGAGCAGCAGUCAUCAUUGUCACCUGUGAGUUCUACAAAUGAAG